rnacentral:lncRNA from 1 species
UUCUUUACUUGCGCAAGAUACACCUUGGCAUUACAUACUCUGACAUCAAAUAGUAGCAAACGGAUAAUAUUCCUUGAAAGAGAGUGAAUGUGGACUAUGAAACAGACCAAAUGAACGGUAGAAUAAAUAAAAUUUGUUUACCACAGAGAGGUAGUGUUUCCAUUAAGUAAACACUGGCUUCUAUUAUAUAAAGCAUGUCAAAACACCUUAAAAUAAAUAACUUGAAACUUACAAAAAGUUGUUGGCCAAAGGAUAUAAAAGCUCGCUCACCUUGUCAUUGCAGUUCCCAUAGAUGUUAGUGUGACUUUUUCUUGCUCGAUGGAUGCGUCUUCAAGCUAAAUUCUUGGCUGCAGGUAAAUAUGAAAUACCCAGAAACAAAGGAUUCCUACAGACAGAAGCUAGAAUUUUUGUUAUUUUCUUUCCCAUAGGAAGAAGAUGAUUUUUUUUUUUGUGUGUGCUAGAAAGCCAACUCCUACGUGUUUCUUUAAGCAUCGAAAUCAAUGUAAUCUCAUGCCUCCUACUGGAAGAUGAAGCCUUUUUUUUUAACUAGAAAGGGGACUCAAAAGUGUAGUGUUUCUUCAAGCAUCAAAACCAGUGUAAAUCUGAUUCCUACCUAAAAGAGGGUCAGUAUGCUGAAACAACGAAACAUUCUAAUCUGAGUAGCCGCAGGGACUCGGGUUAGUUUCAGAGACAGUAUCAGAAACCCUAAUCGGAGAGUUAGGGAUCGAUGGAAGAUCCUGGUUCGCCCCCAAAUCGGGGGGACAAUAUUGCUCGCGAAACGUGAUGGAUUUACUUGAGAGAAAGAGAAGGAAUGAAAGCGUACCAUUGAGAUCGAUAGCCGAGAGCGACAGAGAGUAUCGAGAGAUCACGUUGAAUAGAAUGCGAAUGGAGAUCGGAAUUCUUUCAAAUUCGUGAGGUCCGAAGCCCCUUUU